rnacentral:lncRNA from 1 species
UCCAUUGUUAACAGUAGUGCUACCAUCAUGAGCUGAGCAUGGAGGUUGGGAAGAAAUUUGAGGCUCUUCAGUAACUCGUUAAAUAUUUUCUGAUUCUAAGAGCUUAACCAGACAGACUACCGAGGUUGAAACUUUACUUGUGCUGAACUUUUCGAAACAUUCCAGGAGACUUUGGAGGUUGGACUUUUAAUAUGCCAACUGCUCGUUCCUGUACUUAUAACUAUAGUGUAACUACAUUGUCCUGGAUUUUAUUCAAGUUGAUA